UACGUAGGGUGCGAGCGUUGUCCGGAAUUACUGGGCGUAAAGAGCUCGUAGGUGGUUUGUCGCGUUGUUCGUGAAAACCGGGGGCUUAACCCUCGGCGUGCGGGCGAUACGGGGCAGACUUGAGUACUGCAGGGGAGACUGGAAUUCCUGGUGUAGCGGUGGAAUGCGCAGAUAUCAGGAGGAACACCGGUGGCGAAGGCGGUUCUCUGGGCCUUACCUGACGCUGAGGAGCGAAAGCGUGGGGAGCGAACAGG
rnacentral:rRNA from 1 species